GACGAACCGAGCGAACGUUGUUCGGAAUCACUGGGCUUAAGGACGGCGUAGCGGGUGCUCAAGUCUGUGGUGAAAUCCUCCGGCUCAACCGAAGAACGUCGAUCGAUACUGCUGUUCUUGAGGGUUGCAGAGGAGACUGGAAUUCCCGGUGUAGCGGUGAAAUGUGUAGAGAUCGGGAGGAACACCGGUGGCGAAGGCGGCACUCUGGGCCGAUACUGACACUGAGGAGCGAAAGCGUGGGGAGCGAACAGG
rnacentral:rRNA from 1 species